GAAACUUCUGAGCUUCAAGCAGCUGCAGUGACUAAGAAACUUCUGAGCUUCAAGCAGCUGCAGCAACGAAGAAACUUCUGAGCUUCAAGCAGCUGCAGUGACUAAGAAACUUCUGAGCUUCAAGCAGCUGCAGUGACUAAGAAACUUCUGAGCUUCAAGCAGCUGCAGUGACUAAGAAACUUCUGAGCUUCAAGCAGCUGCAGUGACUAAGAAACUUCUGAGCUUCAAGCAGCUGCAGUGACUAAGAAACUUCUGAGCUUCAAGCAGCUGCAGUGACUAAGAAACUUCUGAGCUUCAAGCAGCUGCAGUGACUAAGAAACUUCUGAGCUUCAAGCAGCUGCAGUGACUAAGAAACUUCUGAGCUUCAAGCAGCUGCAGUGAAGAAGAAACUUCUGAGCUUCAAGCAGCUGCAGUGAAGAAGAAACUUCUCAUCAGACUGCUGGUAUACUGAAAAUCAACACCAGGACAAACUUGAUGAACACAAUGGCUGAGGAUUCCAAUUCAGCCAUCCUGGAUUCUAUCUCCAAUGUAACAGAAGGAUGCCGACUGCCAGUCCUGAUGAACAACGGGGAAGACUGGCGUAAGUCAGGAUGUUCAACAUUGGCAGAGAUUAUCAGCAUCAAGGACUCAGAUACCAAGAAACUUUUCUACGUCCAUUACAUUGAUUGUGAGUAUUUUUUACAUGUUUCAUAACUUUGGAAAUGGAGAAACUCACUUGGAGAUGUAUAUAAAUAAAAAUGAGUCAAUGAUUAGGGUUUAUUAGACUACCAACAUUGCAUGUCAUAAUUCUUUACUUGGAAAUUGGCACCUCAAGGGAGGGCUCUUGAUCCAAGAAACUGAACUUAUCCUCUCCUUGGAUUGAACCUGAUUGCCUCUUGUUCCCAAGGCACUAUAUGUUCCCUACAUGUUUAGGACUUCCCCCUCUUUAAAAUAGAACAGAAGUGGAAAAUGGCAUAUUUGGUGUGUUUAUUUUUUAAGUAUGUACUGUAAUGUCUGUCUUGUGUUUAAUUUUGUUUUAUUUAUCAUAUAUGUACGUACUGUCCUAUAUUUUUUAAGUACUGUAAUGUCUGUCUUGUUUUUAAUUUUGUUUUAUUUAUCAUUCGUAUAUACUGUCCUGUAUUUUUUA